UUUAACAUUUGUCAGAUCAGAGAGCACUAGGCAUGUCUAUGCGUGUUGAAAGGGCAUCACUUGAACAGGUCCAGAAAAGGUUUGAGGCACUUAAGAAAAGGAAGGAUCCAAGUGCCUUUACUGAAGAAGAUUUGGAUGAGAGAAUAAUGAAACAACAGCAAGAGGAGGAGGAACGGAAGCGGCAGCGCAAAGAAAAGAAGAAAGAGA